AGAUUGAACGCUGGCGGCAUGCCUUACACAUGCAAGUCGAACGGUAGAGUAGCAAUACUCGAGAGUGGCGAACGGGUGAGUAAUAUAUCGGAACGUGCCCAGUCGUGGGGGAUAACGUAGAGAAAUUUACGCUAAUACCGCAUACGAUCUACGGAUGAAAGCGGGGGAUCGCAAGACCUCGCGCGAUUGGAGCGGCUGAUAUCAGAUUAGGUUGUUGGUGAGGUAAAAGCUCACCAAGCCGACGAUCUGUAGCUGGUUUGAGAGAACGACCAGCCACACUGGGACCGAGACACGGCCCAGACUCCUACGGGAGGCAACAGUGGGGAAUUUGGACAAUGGGCGAAAGCCUGAUCCAGCCAUGCCGCGUGCAGGAUGAAGGCCUUCGGUUGUAAACUGCUUUGUACGGAACGAAAAGUCUCUUCUAAUAAAGAGGAUCAUGACGUACCGUAAGAAUAAGCAACCGCUAACUACGUGCCAGCAGCCGCGUAAU
rnacentral:rRNA from 1 species